GGCGGCAGCCCCGCUACCUCCCCCACACUACAUCCUCCCGGCGGUGAGACCUCCGGAGCGGAUCCCGGUGACGGAUUGGCGGGGCCGAGCUGGGGAGCCGCCGGCGAUUCAUUCAGGUCGAGCCGAUCGUUCCUCGGCAAUGAAGACUCCUCUGCCGGCUUGGAUCGUUUGUUUUGAGAGGGGGACGGCGGCGGCGAGGGAGAGGAGAGAGGGCGCUUGGUAGAGGAAGAAGACGCCGAACUCCUGC
rnacentral:misc_RNA from 1 species